AGCGAACGCUGGCGGCAGGCUUAACACAUGCAAGUCGAGCGGGCCCUUCGGGGUCAGCGGCGGACGGGUGAGUAACGCGUGGGAACGUGCCUUCUGGUCUGGAAUAACCCUGGGAAACUAGGGCUAAUACCGGAUACGCCCUUUUGGGGAAAGGUUUACUGCCGGAAGAUCGGCCCGCGUCUGAUUAGCUGGUUGGUGGGGUAACGGCCUACCAAGGCGACGAUCAGUAGCUGGUCUGAGAGGAUGAUCAGCCACACUGGGACUGAGACACGGCCCAGACUCCUACGGGAGGCAGCAGUGGGGAAUAUUGGACAAUGGGCGCAAGCCUGAUCCAGCCAUGCCGCGUGAGUGAUGAAGGCCUUAGGGUUGUAAGGCUCUUUUAUCCGGGACGAUAAUGACGGUACCGGAGGAAUAAGCCCCGGCUAACUUCGUG
rnacentral:rRNA from 1 species